UUGGCCCUGUUAUUUGUUGAAAUAACAUAUUAUUCGUUUUUCUUUCUCAUCCAUAGAGCUGAGAACAAAUACCAGCAUGAAGUCAAAGUAGGCUAAAGGAGAAAAUGGCCCUGGGAAUGCUUCCCUGCACACAGAAGAGUCCCUGCCUGGCUCAGAACAAGGGUUUCCUGUGAUGGGCUCCUACUCAUCCUCCAAUGCCUAACUCUAC
ensembl:lincRNA